rnacentral:tRNA from 1 species
UCCCUGGUGGCUCAGACGGUAAAGCGUCUGCCUACAAUGCAGGAGACCCGGGUUCGAUCCCUGGGUGGGGAA